CAAAGCGCGCGCAUGUUCCGUUUCAAUGAACGUAGUUUGAUCGUUAGCUGGCAACCCUCCCAUGACAUGUACAGUCAUAUACAGAAUAUAUACAGAAAAGUGAUUCUGCGGCGUUAUCUUACACAACGUUAUAUGAGACCGUCAUGACAAUUGCCAGCUAGCUGAAGUGUAUUUCUGAAGCGGAUUGGGGCAGGUCUGAACCCAGGACAUUUUUCCGGUUUGCCAAAACGUCCAUUGCAAAGCACCUGUUUGUUUUCGUAGCGUCGCUGUGCCAGUGCGCACACAAGACUAUAAUGGUAUCAAAAUGAAGGAAAUGCAGAGACAGCCCAAGCUAAGCAGGCUUCAGAGUUCAAGACGGAGAAGGAGAACGCACACCAACUGUAGAGCAGAAUGGCAGAAGUGAAGAGAUGGAGAACGACAGGAAAGGGGGUGAGGGGACGACCUGCAGUUGGGGACUAUGGAUGAAGAACUCCACCUUUUUAUGAGUUUCAUUAUCUCUUGUAGAAAAAAAAAUGUACCCUUCUAAUAGUAAAAUUAAACCAACUUAA